rnacentral:misc_RNA from 1 species
CUGAAUUGUCAACAGGAGUUGUUGCUGGCCCCCCAAGUGGGACAUGUGCACACUCUGUUCACACAUCCACUCACACCUGUGCACCCUCUGUAGUUCCAUGGUUGGGAGUUCUGUUCUCCUUCUGUGGUUCUGCAUCUUUACACACACUCUGUAUCAAAGUUUCAUGGAAUGUAUAUUGCGGUUAAUGCAACACAAUA